GAGGGUUUAGCUCAGUGGUAGCGUGCAUACCUAGAAUGCAUGAGAUCCUGAGUUCAAUCCCCAGUACCUCCA
rnacentral:tRNA from 1 species